UACAGAUACAAUUGCAAGGAGAGCCUGUCGGCUCAAGUGUCGUCCCUUUGAUUUACAGUUGCAAUAGCAGGAGCUGCAUGAAUUUCAAAUGAUGUGAUCAUAUCCUACCAAUUCCUUGGGCUCCAGCGAGAGUGAACCCUGGGUAGAUCAUUUGCGGUGUCUUACAAUGAUGAACACACCAGGUUGUAAGAGAUGUGGAGUGUCACGCUAAGGGCUUCUGACCUGUCAUCCUGCCCUCAAUCAACCAUAAUCACCUCUACCAUGAGUUUGGAAGCUCCAUUUUCUCAGUGAGUUUAAUUUGUCCUUUGACUCUGCUAUCAGCCACUGUUUUCCUGGGGAGAGACGCUGUUAGGAUGCUGUCAGUACAAAUCCCCUGACCUCCAAGGUUCACAAGGUCAUCUUCUGAACAAGGUGGUCUCCAUUACCAUCCCCCAAACAAUUCCCUUUCCAGGUUUGGAUGACAGGGCUCUCUCUUCUCCCCUACUAGACACUGGAAUACCAG
rnacentral:lncRNA from 1 species